rnacentral:rRNA from 1 species
UACGUAGGGUGCGAGCGUUGCCCGGAAUUACUGGGCGUAAAGAGCUCGUAGGUGGUUUGUCGCGUUGUCCGUGAAAACUCACAGCUCAACUGUGGGCGUGCGGGCGAUACGGGCAGACUGGAGUACUGCAGGGGAGACUGGAAUUCCUGGUGUAGCAGUGAAAUGCGUAGAUAUCGGGAGGAAUACCGAUGGCGAAGGCAGGUCUCUGGGCUAGUAACUGACGCUCAUGCACGAAAGCGUGGGGAGCAAACAGG